UUUCAAACCACACCAUUGAGAUAUUGCUUUCUGUGUCUAGGGCAAAGAAAAGAUUGUCACCAUUCUUAGCAAAUUACUAUUACUAUAGUGCUCACUAUGUCACCGUGGGUUCAUGGGUGCAAUUCAUGCCAUGCACUUAUAAACUGUCCAGUGCCGUACUAUAGCCUUUUAGUAUUCAUAUGUAAAGCACUUUUGUGCAACUUGAAAUGUUUAAGGGCUUUCUCAAUAUUUGUACAUGUUUCUUUAUAUAGCUAGUGAGAUGGGAAGGCUCUGAUUAAAAUGCUGAAAUACUGUUGUCAAAUACUUCUAUUUAAUUUUCUUUUGUGUGUAAUAGUUUGAUUAUUUUGUUUGUUUUUCAUGUUAUUGGUCCCACGAGGUGUUUAUUCACCUAUCAGUAAUUAGUGGCGAGAAAAGAAAAUUUUAACUUUGGAUCUCUUGCUUUACAAAGUAGGGGAUUUUGAAACUUGCCUUUUAGGCCUACAGUUUGCAAGCUCGAACUCAGCCUUGUUUGCUAUGUAGUGAAUAAACCUCUAAGCAAUCUGUAUGACUAAAAGCUUCCUAUUUAAUGAUACUAUCCCUUUGCUCUUGUCCAGUAACACAUUACAUAUGCAUGUGCUGCCUAUAUAUCACAGGACCUGUCAGCUGACCUUUUCAGCCUUGCAUAGAUAAUGACUUUUAUCUUGAAAGUCUCAUAUGGUUAAGAGGACACAUCCAAAUAUUUUCUUCUACAAAGGAACCAUUUUGCAGCAACAUUUCAAGAAAAACCUACAUUACCGUCAGAGUUCCUUAGUAGAAAUUGGAGUCUACGAGUGAAAACCGCUAUUCUGUGUCUGAUAAAUCUUCUUGCUCGCCCCCUUGCCUUCAUCUCAGAAUAGGAAGUGAUAUUUCUGACAGCCUUCAAAAGCCAAAAUGUGAAGCCAGGGUGAAUAUUUGAAAUCUGAUUUUAUUUAUUUUUUUCCCCUGGUCUACUUCCUUGAAAUAUACUUUUAAGAAUGUAUAUUUACAAAUACACUACCUUUGUGCCAUCCCCCAACCUUCAGAGAAAAAAAUGAAAAUGCAGUAAAAUGUCUCAAAAAAUA